rnacentral:sRNA from 1 species
UAGCAAGAUAUGGAGCACAUGAACUGCC